rnacentral:tRNA from 1 species
AGGUCCGUAGCUCAAUGGUAGAGCGACACUCUUAUACAGUGUAUGUUGUGGGUUCGAGUCCCACCGGACCUA